AGAGUUUGAUCAUGGCUCAGAACGAACGCUGGCGGCGUGCUUAACACAUGCAAGUCGAACGCGAAAGUUUUCUUCGGAAAGCGAGUAGAGUGGCGCACGGGUGAGUAACGCGUAAGUAAUCUACCCUGGUAUCUGGGAUAACCCACCGAAAGGUGUGCUAAUACCGGAUACGCUGAGUAAUCAGGAAAGGUGGCCUCUUCAUGAAAGCUACUGUACCAGGAGGAGCUUGCGUACCAUUAGCUAGUUGGUAGGGUAAUGGCCUACCAAGGCAACGAUGGUUAGCGGGUCUGAGAGGAUGAUCCGCCACACUGGAACUGGAACACGGACCAGACUCCUACGGGAGGCAGCAGUGAGGAAUAUUGCGCAAUGGGGGAAACCCUGACGCAGCGACGCCGCGUGGAUGAUGAAGGCCUUCGGGUCGUAAAAUCCUGUCAGGUGGAAAGAAAUGUAUUAUGCCUAAUACGUGUAAUAUUUGACGGUACCACCAAAGGAAGCACCGGCUAACUCCGUGCCAGCAGCCGCGGUAAUACGGAGGGUGCAAGCGUUGUUCGGAAUUACUGGGCGUAAAGCGCGCGUAGGCGGUUUGUUAAGUCAGAUGUGAAAGUCCACGGCUCAACCGUGGAAGUGCAUUUGAAACUGGCAGACUUGAGUACUGGAGGGGGUGGUGGAAUUCCCAGUGUAGAGGUGAAAUUCGUAGAUAUUGGGAGGAACACCGGUGGCGAAAGCGGCCACCUGGCCCGGUACCGACGCUCAAGUGCGAAAGCGUGGGGAGCAAACAGGAUUAGAUACCCUAGUAGUCC
rnacentral:rRNA from 1 species